rnacentral:rRNA from 1 species
CAUUACAGAAUGAACUUGACAGAUUGUAGCUGGCUCUCUCCGGGGAGCACUUGUGCACGUCCGUCAUUUCUAUCUUACCACCUGUGCACACUUUGUAGAUCUGGAGGCAUCUUCACGGACUUUGUCUGUGGUUUUUGGGAGUUGUCGUGCCUUUGUGUCGACUCUCCCUGGUCUUUUCAGGUCUAUGUUUUUACAUCUACUCCAUAGCAUGUAAAAGAAUGAAUCUAUGGCAGCCUCGUGCAGCCUAUAAAACUAGUACAACUUUCAGCAACGGAUCUCUUGGCUCUCGCAUCGAUGAAGAACGCAGCGAAAUGCGAUAAGUAAUGUGAAUUGCAGAAUUCAGUGAAUCAUCGAAUCUUUGAACGCACCUUGCGCUCCUUGGUAUUCCGAGGAGCAUGCCUGUUUGAGUGUCAUUAAAUUCUCAACCAUCCCGUCUUCUUUUGAAGUUGUGGGUGCGUUGGAUGUGGGGACUUGCCGGCGCUUAUUCUAUAAGACUUGGCUUCCCUUAAAUGUAUUAGCUAGAGCGCUUCUGUUGACUAGCCGCUAGUGUGAUAAUUAUCUACACUGUGACCAGCCAGCCUUUGUAAUGAAGGAACUCUGCUUCUAACCGUCUGCUUGCAGACAAUCUAUGAUAACUUGACCUCAAAUCAGGUAGGACUACCCGCUGAACUUAAGCAUAU